GUAAGUUUGGCUCUAACUACUUGAACUUUUGCGAUAUAAACUUAAAACUCGAAUAUAUUUUAACAGACAGUGGUCAUGUUUGUUGAUGAAUAUUGUUUUUCCUAGAUUUACUCAGGAAAAUUCAUUUGGUAACAUUUGGUCAAGCAAUUUCAGAAAAGAUUUUUUUAAAUUACGGACGCCAAGUCAAUAGCUCACAAGGCCCCUUGAUACAAUUGAUCUUAAAGCAAAACGGGUUGAAAACCAGCUGAAAUUAAAUCAAGUUUUGUAAAGUUUGAAUAUUUGGGAUUGUUUAAAUCUGUUUUUAUGGCUUUUAAAAGUUAAAUGUAGGUGUAUGAUUUAAGAUUUAUUGAAUCUUAUAUACUUGUUU
rnacentral:lncRNA from 1 species